GACGAACGCUGGCGGCGUGCUUAACACAUGCAAGUCGAGCGGAAAGGCCUGCUUUCCCUUGUGGAUUGCGGGUACUCGAGUGGCGAACGGGUGAGUAACACGUGAGUGAUCUGCCCCCAACUUGGGUAUAAGCCUGGGAAACUGGGUCUAAUUCCCGAUAGGACUGCAGGGUGGUGCCUGUGGUGGAAAACGAUUUUCUAGUGGUUGGGGAUGAGCUCGCGGCCUAUCAGCUUGUUGGUGGGGUAGUGGCCUACCAAGGCGGCGACGGGUAGCCGGCCUGGGAGGGGGGACGGCGACAUUGGGACUGAGAUACGGCCCAGACUCCUACGGGAGGCAGCAGUGGGGAAUAUUGCACAAUGGGCGGAAGCCUGAUGCAGCGACGCCGCGGGGGGGAUGACGGCCUUCGGGUUGUAAACUCCUUUCGACCGCGAGGAAGCCACCUGGUUGGAAGGGUGGUGACGGUAGUGGUAGAAGAAGCACCGGCUAACUACGUG
rnacentral:rRNA from 1 species